UUACCGAGUUUACAACUCCCAAACCCAAUGUGAACGUUACCAAACUGUUGCCUCGGCGGGGUCACGCCCCGGGUGCGUAAAAGCCCCGGAACCAGGCGCCCGCCGGAGGAACCAACCAAACUCUUUCUGUAGUCCCCUCGCGGACGUAUUUCUUACAGCUCUGAGCAAAAAUUCAAAAUGAAUCAAAACUUUCAACAACGGAUCUCUUGGUUCUGGCAUCGAUGAAGAACGCAGCGAAAUGCGAUAAGUAAUGUGAAUUGCAGAAUUCAGUGAAUCAUCGAAUCUUUGAACGCACAUUGCGCCCGCCAGUAUUCUGGCGGGCAUGCCUGUCCGAGCGUCAUUUCAACCCUCGAACCCCUCCGGGGGAUCGGCGUUGGGGAUCGGGACCCCUCACCGGGUGCCGGCCCUGAAAUACAGUGGCGGUCUCGCCGCAGCCUCUCCUGCGCAGUAGUUUGCACAACUCGCACCGGGAGCGCGGCGCGUCCACGUCCGUAAAACACCCAACUUUCUGAAAUGUUGACCUCGGAUCAGGUAGGAAUACCCGCUGAACUUAAGCAUAUCAAUAAGCGGAGGAAAAGAAACCAACAGGGAUUGCCCCAGUAACGGCGAGUGAAGCGGCAACAGCUCAAAUUUGAAAUCUGGCCCCUCCGGGUCCGAGUUGUAAUUUGUAGAGGAUGCUUUUGGUGAGGUGCCGCCCGAGUUCCCUGGAACGGGACGCCACAGAGGGUGA
rnacentral:rRNA from 1 species